rnacentral:rRNA from 1 species
AAGUACCCGUGAGGGAAAGUUGAAAAGAACUUUGAAGAGAGAGUUCAAUAGUACGUGAAACCGUUUAGAGGUAAACGGAUGGGACCGCGAGGCUCCCCUCGGAAUUCAACCUUCCGGUCGUCGGUCGGCGGCGCGUCGCGAUCCGUAGGACGUGCGCGUCGUCGAGUCGGCGUCGGUGGGCGCACUUUCCCUGGGACACUUGCCAGGACAGGUUCGCGUGGUGGCCAGAAGCCGCCGGGGGCAAGGUAGCCGUCUUCGGACGGUGCUUAGGCCCCCGCGGUGGGCUGCACCCGCGUACCGAGGAACGCCCGCCGUGGCACGGGUCCUCCUCCCUCUCGACCGACACGACUUGCGCGGACUGUUCGCAGUGCCCGCAGACCGCCGGCAGUGCAGCGGAGGUGAUCGCCCGUGUCCUCACUCAGGGUCUCUGGCUAAUCGGUCGGCACCCCAUCCGACCCGUCUUGAAACACGGACCAAGGAGUCUAACAUGUGCGCGAGUCACUGGGCGGCAAACCCAAAGGCGCAAUGAAAGUGAAGUCCGCGGCCUCGGCCCGGACCAGGUGGGAUCCCCGUCCCCCGGGGCGGGGCGCACCACCGGCCCGUCUCGGCCUCUAGCAGGCGAGGCGGAGCAGGAGCGUACACGUUGGGACCCGAAAGAUGGGUGAAC